rnacentral:rRNA from 1 species
UACGUAGGGUGCAAGCGUUGUCCGGAAUUAUUGGGCGUAAAGAGCUCGUAGGCGGUUUGUCGCGUCUGCUGUGAAAACUCGGGGCUUAACUCCGGGCCUGCAGUGGGUACGGGCAGACUAGAGUGCGGUAGGGGAGACUGGAAUUCCUGGUGUAGCGGUGAAAUGCGCAGAUAUCAGGAGGGACACCGGUGGCGAAGGCGGGUCUCUGGGCCGUAACUGACGCUGAGGAGCGAAAGCGUGGGGAGCGAACAGG